UACGUAGGGGGCGAGCGUUGUCCGGAUUUACUGGGUGUAAAGGGUGCUCAGGCGGGUCUGUAAGUCAGGGGUGAAAUCCCAGAGCUUAACUCUGGAACUGCCUUUGAUACUGCAGAUCUCGAGUUUGGGAGAGGCGAGUGGAAUAUCUGGUGUAGCAGUGAAAUGCGUAGAUAUCAGAUAGAACACCAAUGGCGAAGGCAGCUCGCUGGCCCAAUACUGACGCUAAAGCACGAAAGCGUGGGGAGCAAACAGG
rnacentral:rRNA from 1 species